rnacentral:misc_RNA from 1 species
CCAAAAUUAGUUGUUCUUCUUUCCAGCUAACCCAGAAGUAACGUAGAUUUUCUCUCUGCGUUCAAAUCUCCUUCAACGAGAGACGACUCCCUGUCAUCUUCUCUUCACGCGCCACUGGAAUGGCUGCUCCAACGAUCCCGAUUUCAAAUCCCCAGUCCCAAUCACAAUCCCAACCUCCAAUCGCCACCCCUGCCUUUCGUGCAUUCAUCUCACGCCUCUCAUCCUCGAUCCGCCAUGGCUUAUCCCAGUGCCGCCCUUGGUCAGAACUCAUUGACCGGAACUCCAUGGCCCGACCCGAUUCCCUUUCCGAAGCUGCCUCCCGGAUCCGGAAAAAUCUCUCUUACUUUAAAGUCAAUUACGUUACCUUACUCGCAAUUGUACUCGCUUUCUCCCUCUUGUC